GGAUUGCCCUAGUAACGGCGAGUGAAGCGGCAACAGCUCAAAUUUGAAAUCUGGCGUCUUCGGCGUCCGAGUUGUAAUUUGCAGAGGGCGCUUUGGCAUUGGCAGCGGUCCAAGUUCCUUGGAACAGGACGUCACAGAGGGUGAGAAUCCCGUACGUGGUCGCUAGCCUUUACCGUGUAAAGCCCCUUCGACGAGUCGAGUUGUUUGGGAAUGCAGCUCUAAAUGGGAGGUAAAUUUCUUCUAAAGCUAAAUACUGGCCAGAGACCGAUAGCGCACAAGUAGAGUGAUCGAAAGAUGAAAAGCACUUUGGAAAGAGAGUUAAAAAGCACGUGAAAUUGUUGAAAGGGAAGCGCUUGCAGCCAGACUUGCCUGUAGUUGCUCAUCCGGGUUUCUACCCGGUGCACUCUUCUAUAGGCAGGCCAGCAUCAGUUUGGGCGGUUGGAUAAAGGUCUCUGUCAUGUACCUCUCUUCGGGGAGAACUUAUAGGGGAGACGACAUGCAACCAGCCUGGACUGAGGUCCGCGCAUCUGCUAGGAUGCUGGCGUAAUGGCUGUAAGCGGCCCGUCUUGAAACACGGACCAAGGAGUCUAACAUCUAUGCGAGUGUUUGGGUGUCAAGCCCGAGCGCGUAAUGAAAGUGAACGGAGGUGGGAACCUUUCGGGGUGCACCAUCGACCGAUCCUGAUGUCUUCGGAUGGAUUUGAGUAAGAGCAUAGCUGUUGGGACCCGAAAGAUGGUGAACUAUGCUUGAAUAGGGUGAAGCCAGAGGAAACUCUGGUGGAGGCUCGCAGCGGUUCUGACGUGCAAAUCGAUCGUCAAAUUUGGGCAUAGGGGCGAAAGACUAAUCGAAC
rnacentral:rRNA from 1 species